rnacentral:rRNA from 1 species
UACGGGGGGGGCAAGCGUUGUUCGGAAUUACUGGGCGUAAAGGGCUCGUAGGUGGCCAACUAAGUCAGACGUGAAAUCCCUCAGCUUAACUGGGGAACUGCGUCUGAUACUGGAUGGCUUGAAUUCGGGAGAGGGAUGCAGAAUUCCAGGUGUAGCGGUGAAAUGCGUAGAUAUCGGGAGGAACACCAGUGGCGAAGGCGACUACCUGGCCCAUUCUUGACGCUGAGGCGCGAAAGCUAGGGGAGCGAACGGG